rnacentral:rRNA from 1 species
AAAUUGAAGAGUUUGAUCAUGGCUCAGAUUGAACGCUGGCGGCAGGCCUAACACAUGCAAGUCGAACGGUAACAGGAAGCAGCUUGCUGCUUCGCUGACGAGUGGCGGACGGGUGAGUAAUGUCUGGGAAACUGCCUGAUGGAGGGGGAUAACUACUGGAAACGGUGGCUAAUACCGCAUAACGUCGCAAGACCAAAGAGGGGGACCUUCGGGCCUCUUACCAUCAGAUGUGCCCAGAUGGGA